AGAGUUUGAUCCUGGCUCAGGAUGAACGCUAGCGGCAGGCUUAAUACAUGCAAGUCGAGGGGCAGCAUGGUGUAGCAAUACACUGAUGGCGACCGGCAAACGGGUGCGGAACACGUACAGAACCUUCCUUCGAGCGGGGAAUAGCCCAGAGAAAUUUGGAUUAAUACCCCAUAGUACAACGGAGUGGCAUCGCUUUGUUGUUAAAGAUUUAUCACUUGAAGAUGGCUGUGCGGCUGAUUAGGUAGUUGGCGGGGUAACGGCCCACCAAGCCUGCGAUCAGUAACUGGUGUGAGAGCACGACCAGUCACACGGGCACUGAGACACGGGCCCGACUCCUACGGGAGGCAGCAGUAAGGAAUAUUGGUCAAUGGACGAAAGUCUGAACCAGCCAUGCCGCGUGGAGGAUGAAGGUCCUCUGGAUUGUAAACUUCUUUUAUAUGGGACGAAAAAAGGCCUUUCUAGGUCGUCUGACGGUACCAUAUGAAUAAGCACCGGCUAACUCCGUGCCAGCAGCCGCGGUAAUACGGAGGGUGCAAGCGUUAUCCGGAUUCACUGGGUUUAAAGGGUGCGUAGGUGGGUUGGUAAGUCAGUGGUGAAAUCCCCGAGCUUAACUUGGGAACUGCCAUUGAUACUAUCAGUCUUGAAUACCGUGGAGGUCAGCGGAAUAUGUCAUGUAGCGGUGAAAUGCUUAGAUAUGACAUAGAACACCAAUUGCGAAGGCAGCUGGCUACCCGAAUAUUGACACUGAGGCACGAAAGCGUGGGGAUCAAACAGGAUUAGAUACCCUGGUAGUCCACGCCCUAAACUAUGGAUACUCGACAUUUGCGAUAAACUGUAAGUGUCUGAGCGAAAGCAUUAAGUAUCCCACCUGGGAAGUACGACCGCAAGGUUGAAACUCAAA
rnacentral:rRNA from 1 species